GCGCCAAUAGUACAGUGGUUAGUAUAGGGCCUUCCCAAAAGGAAAGAGGCUCUGACCGGGGUUCAAAUCCCCGUUGGCGCA
rnacentral:tRNA from 1 species